UAUGUAAACCAAGAUAAGGACCCAUUCAAGCCCAGGGACUCGACAAACUGCACCUUACAGUCGGGCCUUCUUCCUCCUCCCGCAAUGUGCACCGUUUUAUUUUUCUGCGAGGGUCACAUAUGCUUUGGCGCCUGGAGCAAAACACGCAGGUAUUAGAGAGAGAAGAGAAAAAGCUUCCACUUUUGCUUGUUGGUGCAGCCUUGUGGAGCAUAAAGACUGUAUGUUAAGUCAAAAGCUAAAUCGUUUCCAGUCAGCUGCUUCAUCCUUUUUGUGUUCAGUCGCACCCACCAGCUGUGUGACUUCAAAGGUGACCUACCAUGCUUCCUUGAA